AGUGAACGCUGGCGGCGUGCUUAACACAUGCAAGUCGAACGAGAACGGAAUAUAGCUUGCUAUAUUUGUCAGCUAAGUGGCGCACGGGUGAGUAAUGUAUAGAUAACCUGCCCUUAAGAAAGGAAUAACAGUUGGAAACGACUGCUAAUGCCCUAUAUGCCUUUAAUACAUAAGUAUGCAAGGGAAACGCUUUAGUGCUUAAGGAUGGGUCUGUAUGGUAUCAGCUUGUUGGUGAGGUAAUGGCUCACCAAGGCUAUGACGCCUAACUGGUUUGCACGGCUGAUCAGUCACACUGGAACUGAGACACGGUCAGUACUCCUACGGGAGGCAGCAGUGGGGAAUGUUUCCCAAUGGACGAAAGUCUGAUGCAGCAACGCCGCGUGUCUUCUAACCCAUUUCGGUGCGUACCCUCCUUUUCUAUAGGAAGAUAAUGACGGUACUAUAUGAAUAAGCACCGGCUAACUCCGUGCCAGCAGCCGCGGUAA
rnacentral:rRNA from 1 species